AGCGAACGCUGGCGGCAGGCCUAACACAUGCAAGUCGAACGGACCCUUCGGGGUUAGUGGCGGACGGGUGAGUAACACGUGGGAACGUGCCUUUAGGUUCGGAAUAGCUCCUGGAAACGGGUGGUAAUGCCGAAUGUGCCCUUCGGGGAAAGGAUUUAUCGCCUUUAGUAGCGGCCCGCGUCUGAUUAGCUUGUUGGUGGGGUAAGUGGCCCACCAAGGCUACGAUCAGUAGCUGGUCUGAGAGGAUGACCAGCCACAUUGGGAC
rnacentral:rRNA from 1 species